CCCCCCCUGCUUUGUGCGAUACCUGCAGCUGAAAUGACCCAACACCGACUUUUUAGGGAGCUUUGCUCCGGCAUCGGAUUGCAGACCUCCCGCGCGGAUCCUUUCGGUGCGCGCGGACGAAGGGAGCGUGAACAUGCCGGGCGGCAACCCACCUGCUUUAGGGCAGGUCAUUCAAGCUGUUCCCGGCAUAGCGGGGGGCUU
rnacentral:other from 1 species